rnacentral:lncRNA from 1 species
GCUUCGGUUUCGUUCCGGAGUUGUGAGGAUUCGUUCGACUACGUCCGUUUGUCUUCUUCAUGGACUCAUUCUUCUUUCUUGCGGGAUCUCAGGCAAGAUGACCAUUACCCUCGAUAUCACUUCUAUCUUUGCUUGCUAGUUGUUCGUUCUAUCGCUAUGUCGUGCUACCUACCACUUGUUUAUCAUGCCUCCCAUAUUGCCAUGUCAAGCCUCUAACCCACCUUCCUAGCAAACCGUUGUUUGGCUAUGUUACCGCUUUGCUCAGCCCCUCUUAUAGCGUUGUUAGUUGCAGGUGAAGUUGAAGAUUGCUCCAUGUUGGAACAUGAUUAUGUUGGGAUAUCACAAUAUCUCUUAUUAAAUUAAUGCACCUAUAUACUUGGUAAAGGGUGGAAGGCUCGGCCUUAUGCCUGGUGUUUUGUUCCACUCUUGCCGCCCUAGUUUCCAUCAUACCGGUGUUAUGUUCCUUGAUUUUGCAUUCCUUACGCGGUUGGGGUUAUGGGACCCCCUUGACAGUUCUCUUUGAAUAAAACUCCUCCAGCAAGGCCCAACCUUGGUUUUACAAUUGCCUCACCUAAGCCUUUCCCUUGGGUUUUCGCGAGCCAGAGGGUCAUCUUAUUUUAUCCCCCCCCCCGGGCCAAUGCUCGUCGUGAGUGUUGGUCCAACCUGUCAACCGCCGGUGGCCACCAGGGGCAACUCUGGGCUGGCCUACCGGAAGUUUGGACAAUCCGGUGUGCCCUGAGAAUGAGAUAUGUGCAGCUCCUAUCGGGAUUUGUCGGCACAAUCGGGUGGUCUUGCUGGUCUUGUUUUAUCAUUGUCGGAAUGUCUUGUAACCGGGAUUCCGAGACUGAUCGGGUCUUUCCGGGAGAAGGAAUAUCCUUCGCUGAUCGUGAGAGCUUGUGACGGUCUAAGUUGGGACACCCCUGCAGGGUAUAAACUUUCGAAAGCCGUGCCCGCGAUUAUGUGGCAGAUGGGAAUUUGUUAAUAUCCGGAUGUAGAGAACUUGACACUUGACUUAAUUAUAAUGCAUCAACCGCAUGUGUAGCUGUGAUGGUCUCUUUUUGGCGGAGUCUAGGAAGUGAACACGGUUUGGGUUGUGUAUGAACGUAAGUAGUUUCAGGAUCACUUCUUGAUCAUUGCUAGCUUCACGACCGUUGCAUAGCUUCCCUUCUCGCUCUUAUUUGCGUAUGUAAGCCACCAUACUUGCUUACUGUUUGCUGCAACUCCACCUCAUUACCUCAUCCUACCCAUAAGCUUAAAUAAUCUUGACCUCGCGGGUUUUGAGAUUGCUGAGUCCUCGUGAAUCACAGAUACUACCAAAACAGUUGCAGGUGUCGAUGAUACCAGUGCAGGUGAUGCUACCGAACUCAAGUGGGAGUUCGACGAGGAACUUGGUCGUUACUACGUUUCUUUUCCAGAUGAUCAGUAGUGGAGCCCAGUUGGGACGAUCAGGGAUCUAGCAUUUGGGGUUGUCUUCUUUUAUUUUGGUUCCGUAGUCGGACCUUGAUUGUACUCUGAAUGAUGUAUAUUUAAUUAAUGUAUUGUGUGAACUGGCGAUUGUAAGCCAACUCUUUAUCCCA